UGUGAACGUUACCAAACUGUUGCCUCGGCGGGAUCUCUGCCCCGGGUGCGUCGCAGCCCCGGACCAAGGCGCCCGCCGGAGGACCAACCAAAACUCUUUUUGUAUACCCCCUCGCGGGUUUUUUAUAAUCUGAGCCUUCUCGGCGCCUCUCGUAGGCGUUUCGAAAAUGAAUCAAAACUUUCAACAACGGAUCUCUUGGUUCUGGCAUCGAUGAAAAACGCACCGAAAUGCGAUAAGUAAUGUGAAUUGCAGAAUUCAGUGAAUCAUCGAAUCUUUGAACGCACAUUGCGCCCGCCAGUAUUCUGGCGGGCAUGCCUGUCCGAGCGUCAUUUCAACCCUCGAACCCCUCCGGGGGGUCGGCGUUGGGGAUCGGCCCUCCCUUAUCGGGUGGCCGUCUCCUAAAUACAGUGGCGGUCUCGCCGCACCCUCUCCUGCGCAGUAGUUUGCACACUCGCAUCGGGAGCGCGGCGCGUCCACAGCCGUUAAACACCCAACUUCUGAAAUG
rnacentral:misc_RNA from 1 species